GAUGAACGCUGGCGGCGUGCUUAACACAUGCAAGUCGAACGGAAAGGCUCCUGCUUGCAGGGGUACUCUAGUGGCGAACGGGUGAGUAACACGUGGGUGAUCUGCCCUGCACUUCGGGAUAAGCCUGGGAAACUGGGUCUAAUACCGGAUAGGACGAUGGUUUGGAUGCCAUUGUGGAAAGUUUUUCGGUGUGGGAUGAGCUCGCGGCCUAUCAGCUUGUUGGUGGGGUAAUGGCCUACCAAGGCGUCGACGGGUAGCCGGCCUGAGAGGGUGUACGGCCACAUUGGGACUGAGAUACGGCCCAGACUCCUACGGGAGGCAGCAGUGGGGAAUAUUGCACAAUGGGCGCAAGCCUGAUGCAGCGACGCCGCGUGGGGGAUGACGGCCUUCGGGUUGUAAACUCCUUUCGCUAGGGACGAAGCGCAAGUGACGGUACCUGGAGAAGAAGCACCGGCUAACUACGUG
rnacentral:rRNA from 1 species